ensembl:lncRNA
UAUGUUUCAGCUUCUGGAUUUCAUUCAUUCCUAACCUAACCCUAAACUAUACACACAACAAUAUACAAUACAACAAUACACAAUAAAAAAUGAAAACAGGAAACACCUACAAGUUCAAGUCUAAAAGGUCAACAAGUGCUAUUAGUGAAAUUCUUUCUAUAAUUUAGGUGGUGUUACCAACAUCAAUGUUACAUUAAUAAACGUAAUCUCUUCAUGCAGCUCAUGUUCAGAGUCCAAAACAGUAAUUACAUAGAAGCAAGAUGGUGCAAAAACAUUUCAUUAUUUUUGCUUGAUCUCAGUGCAAAGAUUUGGAAUUUCUUUUUGGAAGUUAAAAACAUGAAGAAAAGUGAAGAGUCUGGAUUUAAGUUGGUGUUUAGAUUUCUUAACUAGAAGAGAGUGUUGUAAUAAUUUUUAUAAGAGGAUGUUCCUUUCCUGGAAAGUUAACGCCCAGUAAAAAAAAAAAAAAAAACUUCCUGUUAGUAGAGACUGUAUAUAAAGGUCCGGAAGUGCUGCUCAUUUCAGAGCACUGAUCAGGGCUAGUGACUGACUGACACUGCUGCAAAAACAGUCAGUCAGCAAAAUACAAACAGGUAAGAUACAUUUAUUUUUGUGAAUAUAGACCAUGCUGAUUUCUGCUGUAUUAAAGGAGAAAAUAUGACUACCUCUGGGAUAAAAAAUGUUUUGGUUGAAAGAUGGAGGAAACUUCCACUGCAGCUGUUACAGAAACUAAACACUAAAGUACUAUAACUGUGAUAUUUAAUGAAGCCACUACUGAGGGUCCUAAUACAUUUUUUGUCUAAUUAUGUCAUUAGUAUAUCCAUUUGUUUGUGUGGCUUUAUUUUACAAAUACUGAUUAGUGUUCAUGUAGAAUUGAGGAAAACAGCCCUAUACAAGCACUUCUAGCAAUUCUUCUCUUUACAGGUAAUAGAUACAGAGACAGUGUAACAGCAUGUCCAAAGCGGCUGAAGAAGACACAGUGUGGAUCGGGUUCAUGGACAUCGUUCCGGUCAUCGGGACGGUAAAAGAGGCAGUGGAGCUGGUGUUGGCUCUGUAUGAAGGGAAUAAAGCUGUGAUAAAGGAGAAAGAGAAGGCCGUUGAAAACAUUGUGAAAGAGUCAUUAAAAAAACAUGUGAAGGAAAAACAUGUGAAAAAGUUGACUAAAUCAGGAGCUUUUCUAGUUGAUAAACCAGCAGCAGCUGCAGAUGAAUUUUCUGGACUCAGAAAUGUGAAAGAGGUCAGAAAGGAAAUGAUUAUUGAACAUAUGGUCAGAGGUUCCAAAAGGGGAACAAAACCUCCAACUUCAGUUCAACAGCAAGAAAGACAGAAAAGAGUGGAGGCUAUUAAUAAAGACAUGUUAGAAAAGAUCCAUAUCCUCAAUCAAAACUUCGCUAAGCAGCUGAAGGAAGAACUGGGAAGGUCACAAAGAGGCGAACAUGUCUUCAACAAUGACAUUCUUAGAUUUCAUUUCAAAGUGCUGACUGAGUUUAUACAAAGCCAUCAUAUUGAUAAUCUACGAGGAUAUAAUCGGCAGGCGAUGGAUACAUUAGGCAGACACACACUUCCCCAAAACACAGAAACAGAUAUUCAGACAAACAUGGUGGUUCACUUUGGUCAGGAUGAAUUCUACAUGAAUGCAAAUGCAGUGAUGUAUGGUGAAUAUUGCAGAGCACUGCGUGGUGCUUUGUUAGAUGUGCUGCGCCACAUAAACCCAGGUGACGUGGAAGAUGAGGAGAGACAAAGGGUGAAUUUUGUCAUAGAAAAUAUGAAUAACCUUGAAAUCUAUGUGGACCAACUGGCAAAGGUCAGGUGGAUUGGCAAUAAUGCGACUAGACAGGCCCGGUUUGAACAGGUAAGACAGGAAGUUGCGACCAUGUAUAACACAGAUCGUGGGUUAAACUGGUGCAUUCACAUUCUGGAUGUAGUUGCACCUUUGUAUGGACAGUGA